rnacentral:misc_RNA from 1 species
GAUGAAGAACGUAGCGAAAUGCGAUAAGUAGUGUGAAUUGCAGAAUUCAGUGAAUCAUCGAAUCUUUGAACGCACAUUGCGCCCUUUGGUAUUCCUUAGGGCAUGCCUGUUCGAGCGUCAUUUAAACCUUCAAGCUAAUCUUGGUGUUGGGUGACUGUCCGCUUCACUGCGGACUCGCCUCAAAAUUAUUGGCGGCCGGUACAUUGGCUUCGAGCGCAGCAGAAACGCGAACUCGGGCCCGUCGUAUUGGCUCCCAGAAGCUAUCUUCACAAUUUUGACCUCGGAUCAGGUAGGGAUACCCGCUGAACUUAAGCAUAUCAAUAAGCGGAGGA